GUGAGGAAUUUUCCGCAAUGGGCGAAAGCCUGACGGAGCAAUGCCGCGUGAAGGAUGAAGGCCUAUGGGUUGUAAACUUCUUUUCUCAGAAAAGAAUUAUGACGGUAUCUGAGGAAUAAGCAUCGGCUAACUCUGUGCCAGCAGCCGCGGUAAGACAGAGGAUGCAAGCGUUAUCCGGAAUGAUUGGGCGUAAAGCGUCUGUAGGUUGUUUAAAAAGUAUUCUGUAAAAGAUUAGGGCUUAAACCUAGAUAGGCAGAAUAAACUUUUAAGCUAGAGUUUGGUAGAGGCAGAGGGAAUUCCCGGUGGAGCGGUGAAAUGCGUAGAUAUCGGGAGGAACACCAAAGGCGAAGGCACUCUGCUGGGCCAAUACUAACACUGAGAGACGAAAGCGAGGGGAGCAAAUGGGAUUAGAAACCCUUGUAGUCC
rnacentral:rRNA from 1 species